rnacentral:rRNA from 1 species
GAUUGCUCUGAUUGCUUAUUGCACCACAUGUGUUUUUCUUUGAAACAAACUUGCUUUGGCGGUGGGCCCAGCCUGCCGCCAGAGGUCUAAACUUACAACCAAUUUUUUAUCAACUUGUCACACCAGAUUAUUACUAAUAGUCAAAACUUUCAACAACGGAUCUCUUGGUUCUCGCAUCGAUGAAGAACGCAGCGAAAUGCGAUACGUAAUAUGAAUUGCAGAUAUUCGUGAAUCAUCGAAUCUUUGAACGCACAUUGCGCCCUCUGGUAUUCCGGAGGGCAUGCCUGUUUGAGCGUCGUUUCUCCCUCAAACCGCUGGGUUUGGUGUUGAGCAAUACGACUUGGGUUUGCUUGAAAGACGGUAGUGGUAAGGCGGGAUCGCUUUGACAAUGGCUUAGGUCUAACCAAAAACAUUGCUUGCGGCGGUAACGUCUACCACGUAUAUCUUCAAACUUUGACCUCAAAUCAGGUAGGACUACCCGCUGAACUUAAGCAUAUCAAAAGCCGGAGGAA